rnacentral:rRNA from 1 species
ACGGAGAGGGCAAGCGUUGUUCGGAUUUAUUGGGCGUAAAGCGCGCGUAGGUGGCAUGGUAAGUCGGAUGUUAAAGACCCACGGCUCACCCGGGGGAAUGCGUCUGAUACUGCCGUGCUAGAGUGCGGGAGAGGAAAGUGGAAUUCCUGGUGUAGCGGUGAAAUGCGUAGAUAUCAGGAGGAACACCGGUGGCGAAGGCGGCUUUCUGGUCCGAAACUGACGCUGAGUGUGCGAAAGCUAGGGGAGCAAACGG